GAAAGAGGCCAGCUGACAUAGCCAGGGAGAGUGGGAUGGUAGUGCUAGCGACCAUCAUGCAAGGUCAGAGGUCGACACCAUGUGUGGUGGAGGGCACUGAGUGCCAGACUGAGGGAGGGUCGGGCGUGGCACCCUUGCGUCUCCUUACAUGCAGCAACACCACCUGGAGAACACCGGCACCAGUGCCACCUACCUCAACAACACUUGACUGUCGAGUGUUUGGGCAGGUGUUCCGGCAUGGAUCAAGAUGGCACGACGGGUGUAGGGAAAAAAGGUGUGUCAGAGGAAAGGUGUGGAAGGACCAUCAGCUGGCUCAUACGUGU